rnacentral:rRNA from 1 species
UUAAGCGACUAAGCGUACACGGUGGAUGCCCUGGCAGUCAGAGGCGAUGAAGGGCGUGCUAAUCUGCGAUAAGCGCCGGUAAGGUGAUAUGAACCGUUAUAACCGGCGAUACCCGAAUGGGGAAACCCAGUGUGAUUCGUCACACUAUCAUUAACUGAAUCCAUAGGUUAAUGAGGCGAACCGGGGGAACUGAAACAUCUAAGUACCCCGAGGAAAAGAAAUCAACCGAGAUUCCCCCAGUAGCGGCGAGCGAACGGGGAGGAGCCCAGAGCCUGAAUCAGCAUGUGUGUUAGUGGAAGCGUCUGGAAAGGUGCGCGAUACAGGGUGACAGCCCCGUACACAAAAGCGCAUGUGCUGUGAGCUCGAUGAGUAGGGCGGGACACGUGGUAUCCUGUCUGAAUAUGGGGGGACCAUCCUCCAAGGCUAAAUACUCCUGACUGACCGAUAGUGAACCAGUACCGUGAGGGAAAGGCGAAAAGAACCCCGGCGAGGGGAGUGAAAAAGAACCUGAAACCGUGUACGUACAAGCAGUGGGAGCACAGGUUUACCUGUGUGACUGCGUACCUUUUGUAUAAUGGGUCAGCGACUUAUAUUCUGUAGCAAGGUUAACCGAAUAGGGGAGCCGGAGGGAAACCGAGUCUUAAUUGGGCGUUAAGUUGCAGGGUAUAGACCCGAAACCCGGUGAUCUAGCCAUGGGCAGGUUGAAGGUUGGGUAACACUAACUGGAGGACCGAACCGACUAAUGUUGAAAAAUUAGCGGAUGACCUGUGGCUGGGGGUGAAAGGCCAAUCAAACCGGGAGAUAGCUGGUUCUCCCCGAAAGCUAUUUAGGUAGCGCCUCGUGAAUUCAUCUCCGGGGGUAGAGCACUGUUUCGGCUAGGGGGCCAUCCCGGCUUACCAACCCGAUGCAAACUGCGAAUACCGGAGAAUGUUAUCACGGGAGACACACGGCGGGUGCUAACGUCCGUCGUGAAGAGGGAAACAACCCAGACCGCCAGCUAAGGUCCCAAAGUCAUGGUUAAGUGGGAAACGAUGUGGGAAGGCCCAGACAGCCAGGAUGUUGGCUUAGAAGCAGCCAUCAUUUAAAGAAAGCGUAAUAGCUCACUGGUCGAGUCGGCCUGCGCGGAAGAUGUAACGGGGCUAAACCAUGCACCGAAGCUGCGGCAGCGAACGUAUCACCCAAGACAACUUUACGGAGUUGACGAUUGACGGAGCGAAGCGACGUCAAAGCGUUCAUUAAAGUCGAGUUGGCUUAGGGAUACGUUCGUUGGGUAGGGGAGCGUUCUGUAAGCCUGUGAAGGUGUGUCGUGAGGCAUGCUGGAGGUAUCAGAAGUGCGAAUGCUGACAUAAGUAACGAUAAAGCGGGUGAAAAGCCCGCUCGCCGGAAGACCAAGGGUUCCUGUCCAACGUUAAUCGGGGCAGGGUGAGUCGACCCCUAAGGCGAGGCCGAAAGGCGUAGUCGAUGGGAAACGGGUUAAUAUUCCCGUACUUGGUGUUACUGCGAAGGGGGGACGGAGAAGGCUAUGUUGGCCGGGCGACGGUUGUCCCGGUUUAAGCGUGUAGGUGUGUGUUCCAGGUAAAUCCGGUUCACUUUAACACUGAGGCGUGACGACGAGGCACUACGGUGCUGAAGCAACAAAUGCCCUGCUUCCAGGAAAAGCCUCUAAGCAUCAGGUAACACGAAAUCGUACCCCAAACCGACACAGGUGGUCAGGUAGAGAAUACCAAGGCGCUUGAGAGAACUCGGGUGAAGGAACUAGGCAAAAUGGUGCCGUAACUUCGGGAGAAGGCACGCUGACACGUAGGUGAAGUGAUUUACUCAUGGAGCUGAAGUCAGUCGAAGAUACCAGCUGGCUGCAACUGUUUAUUAAAAACACAGCACUGUGCAAACACGAAAGUGGACGUAUACGGUGUGACGCCUGCCCGGUGCCGGAAGGUUAAUUGAUGGGGUCAGCGUAAGCGAAGCUCCUGAUCGAAGCCCCGGUAAACGGCGGCCGUAACUAUAACGGUCCUAAGGUAGCGAAAUUCCUUGUCGGGUAAGUUCCGACCUGCACGAAUGGCGUAAUGAUGGCCAGGCUGUCUCCACCCGAGACUCAGUGAAAUUGAACUCGCUGUGAAGAUGCAGUGUACCCGCGGCAAGACGGAAAGACCCCGUGAACCUUUACUAUAGCUUGACACUGAACAUUGAGCCUUGAUGUGUAGGAUAGGUGGGAGGCUUUGAAGUGUGGACGCCAGUCUGCAUGGAGCCGACCUUGAAAUACCACCCUUUAAUGUUUGAUGUUCUAACGUGGACCCGUAAUCCGGGUUGCGGACAGUGUCUGGUGGGUAGUUUGACUGGGGCGGUCUCCUCCUAAAGAGUAACGGAGGAGCACGAAGGUUGGCUAAUCCUGGUCGGACAUCAGGAGGUUAGUGCAAUGGCAUAAGCCAGCUUGACUGCGAGCGUGACGGCGCGAGCAGGUGCGAAAGCAGGUCAUAGUGAUCCGGUGGUUCUGAAUGGAAGGGCCAUCGCUCAACGGAUAAAAGGUACUCCGGGGAUAACAGGCUGAUACCGCCCAAGAGUUCAUAUCGACGGCGGUGUUUGGCACCUCGAUGUCGGCUCAUCACAUCCUGGGGCUGAAGUAGGUCCCAAGGGUAUGGCUGUUCGCCAUUUAAAGUGGUACGCGAGCUGGGUUUAGAACGUCGUGAGACAGUUCGGUCCCUAUCUGCCGUGGGCGCUGGAGAACUGAGGGGGGCUGCUCCUAGUACGAGAGGACCGGAGUGGACGCAUCACUGGUGUUCGGGUUGUCAUGCCAAUGGCACUGCCCGGUAGCUAAAUGCGGAAGAGAUAAGUGCUGAAAGCAUCUAAGCACGAAACUUGCCCCGAGAUGAGUUCUCCCUGAGACUUAGAGUCUCCUGAAGGAACGUUGAAGACGACGACGUUGAUAGGCCGGGUGUGUAAGCGCAGCGAUGCGUUGAGCUAACCGGUACUAAUGAACCGUGAGGCUUAACCUU